GCCUCGCCUCGCCUCGCCUCGCCUCGCGCACACCUCCUUUCCCAGCCCUACCCGGCGUACGCCGUACACUGGGUUCCUGCAAGUAGUAGGCCCCGCCUCACGUCGUGUAUGCUCCGCCCACUCCAUAGCUCUGUCUCUCCCCCUCUGUGGCUACGAGCUGGCUGGGCGUAGCGAGUUCUGGAGCUGAUCUUCUAAGUGACUUGAGCGUCCCGCCACCGCGUGCGUCUCUCACGGACAGCUGGGUUUGCACGGGCUGGCGACGUCCUCAUUAUGGCGACCUUUGCCCUGCCCCGCUGCCCUGGGACUUCCAUCCCUGCCCUUGCUAGGAGCCACCCACGGAGAGGGCGACCCUUCCCUACCCGCCCCCAACCUGGCCUCCUGCUCCGCCUGUGUCCCUCGGGACGGCCACCCCUUUCGAGCCCGCACCUCCUGGAGGGUAAAUCAAGCCCCGACCUCAGACCCCUGAGCCUUUCGAGACUGACCCGGACCUUGCCCUCGGGUGCCCUCUGCCGUCACCCCUCCUCCAGGGCCUGGAUCGGGACAGCGCUGGCGGCCGAGAUUUUGGAUCCAGGCCUGUGUUCCACUGGGGAUUUGGUGGUUCCUGUUAGAACAAUUGGAGGUGCUCUUAGCUGCUCCUUAAAAUUCUGUUUUAAGUGCGGAUGGUGAAGAUAACUAGCCCAAGGCCAAAGACAAAGGGUAGCAGGACUCACAAGCCUUCCAUACAGAAGGAAUACCAGGUGGGAAGUAAGAGACCUGUCCUGUUCAGUGAGUCAACAUUUCAUUAUGAGGCAAGGCAGGGCCUUUAGAAACUUUUCUAUAGAGUAUCUCCUGCCACAGAAAGGACCAGAAGAGAAACAGGAUAAGGAACUGGCUUAGUCAAAUUAGUUACAAAUAUCAACAUGAAAAUGACAGUAAUACAUUAGAAUGCUUUGAAUUGAAAACAUGCAUGAGCUUAUACAGAAACUAAGAAAUAUAAAUAAAUGGGUAAGUAAAAAAGUAAUAGAGAUGAGGUAGGAAAAGGGAAAACUAAAGUAGAAUGCUGAUUUGUAAAUGAAAGAAUAUUUUUUAUGUCUCCGUGUUGUGUUGCAACUAUCAGAAUUUAUGCUGACAAGAAUCACCAAUGAAUACUAAAAAUCACUGGGUGAAAAUCCAUUGAGGAAUAAGUUAUGUUCAACAUUUAAAGACUUACUACUUGCUUAUUAAUUUCAAAGGGUAAAGGGCAUUUUACUGUGUGGCUCAAGCGUCGAUAAUAAUGGCCUCCUGACUGACCACAUCCCCCACCAUGUGAUGCCUCAGUUAUGUGAUAUUCCUGCCAAAAAUGUGCAAACAAAUAAUGAGGGACUGUAGGACAAAGUCAAAUUGAACAUUCUACAGACUGGCCCAUACUCUUCAAAAGUGUCAAGAUCAUAAAAGAACGAUAGAGAACAUUUUUCAAAUUAAAGGAAACUAAGGAGACAAGAAAACAAAAUGUAAUAUGUAAUCCUAGGUUAGAUCCUAGAUCUGAGUAAAAAUUUGCUACAAGAGACACUCUUGGCAUUUUAAUCAACUGUAUAUUAGUCUCACUUUAAUCAACUGUAUAUUAGUCUCAUAACCAGUGUGUUAAAUUUCCUGAUUUGGAUAAUUGUGUUAUGGCUAUACAAGAGAAUGUCUUUGACCUUAGGAGAUAUAAACUGAAUAAUUUAGGGGUGAAGGAUCAAGAUAUCUACAAGUUUUUCUCAAAUAGUUUAGUGAAAUAUGCAUACAUAAUUGUUGUGUGUAUGUGUAGAGAUAAAAUUUAAUUGGUAAAUCCAGAUAUACAAUAUAUAUAAGUAGUAACAAACUCCUGAAAAUUAAAAAUUCUUCAAAAUAGUAAUUUUUUAGAGAUACAUACUUAAGUACAGUAGUGUCAAAUGCCAUAUCAUGUAUUAUGUCUAGGAUUUUCUCCAAAAUAAUCUAAAGAGAAAGUAGAGGUUGGUGAGAAAUAUUGAAACAUGGGGGUUCUUGAAACUCUUAUCCCUGCUUUUGGAUGUUGUAAAAUUCCCCCAUGAUAAAUCAAAAUAUGGAAAAGAGAUGAAAGAUUUUUAUUUGUGAAAAUGUAUUACUGAAACCUCCUUGCUGGAGGGCAAACGGCCCUGGCACAACCUCUAGUCUUACAUCUUAGGGAGCUGGGGACGGAUGGAUGCAGUAGAGCUGGGUGUGCAGGUACCAAACCAGGAUGAGGAAUGUGGAGGCAGGCACAGGAGGAUGGCACAGGGAGGGAGGAAGAAGGCAUGAAAGAACUUCGUGCAUGAGGGCCUGCAGAAGACAUUUAGAGCUUGUGUGACAUGGAAUCUUUAAAAAAAGGCAUCAUAUGUGAGAGUUUCUGACGAGAUUGGGCACAUUCAGAGUGAUAUGGUCAUAGACAUCUAAGAGUUUCUGAGAAAACUUUUCCUGUAGCAUGCCUAAUAGUAGCUAAAGCUAUCUCCUUUGCAGAACCCACAGAAAAGACCUAGGUUUCUCAGUUAAGACUUCUGAAGUUUAACUUGUGCUUUCUUUGAAGGUAAUACCACUCUGGCAUAGAAUAGAUGGCACUGUAGCUUAAUUGAUGUUAUUUCUUGAAGACAUAUGAUGGGAUACUUUACCUACAUAGUACCUAUCUAUAUGGUACUUAGUGUAAAAGCAUCAUCCAGACCAGAGAAGAGAUUGCAUUUUCAUCUUGAUUACCUACCAAAUUGUGGUUCUCAUAAAGAAAAAGAGUUGAUGAAACACAAGAGAUUUUUGGAAAGACUCCUCAAUUUGGGAUUGGAUAUUUUGGGCAGAGAACCAGAGUUCAUAAGCAUGUUGUGAUUUUAUUACACUGAGAAAGUAUUAAGCACCUGGAGACCUGGAAAAGUAGACACUUUUUAAUCUAACAUCCGUGGAAGCUUAACUUUUUAAGAAAUGAGAAUAAUUCCUCAAAUGGAAAAGAAGUUUGAUAUUUGGGGCUCAGUCCUUGUUUCCAUAGUUCUAAAGGACAUGUGGUGACAGCUAACUCUCUCUCCUAUUUCCUUGUUGCAGUUCACAACCUUCUUUGCACACCCCUUCCUCUAUCAAACUGGAACCUGACCUAGGGUCUUCUUUGUGCCUCUAGAAUGUCAGGAAUAAAGGGUGGUACCAGAUGCCUUUCCAUUCAUCACCUUGUUACAAUCACUUAAGUCCAUUGAUGAUUCAUUAAUAGUGCCUGCUGUUGGUGAUGUCCUCAGAUGAAGAAUAAAGUGAUGAAGCUUCUUCUCUAAAUUUUUACACAGCUCACUGGAUUCUUUUCUUCUCCAAAGAAUUUGGAAUAGCAUAAUGAAAAUAAAUGAGCAAAACCAAGCUAGUAAUUCCCUGUAUAUGUGUACACAAUUCACUGUCUUUGAAGGCCAAGUCUGAAACCAUAUUUAGCAGUUAUGGCUUGCUUGUAUGUUAGUAAAUCAUAUUUCAAUUUCCAGAUCUUUCCAUUACUUUGAAAUUUUUAAGUGUGUGAUUAAGUUAAUUGAUAUGGUUCUCUUUUGUGUUAGAGGUUUCAAACUCAAACGUCUGCAGGCACCAGUCAGUGAACAUUAAUGUAGGUACUGCUAGAGUGAGGUACUAGGGAGUGAUGAGCUUAUGGCUAAAUAAGGAAUAUGUGCCUAAAUUUAAGACACAGUCAACAAAAAAACAAAGACCCAAGCUGAUUUAUUGACAAAGAGAUUUGAUUUAUAUUCUUGAUUUUUAGAUCUCAGUUACAGACAGAUUUUCAUGAAGUUUGUCCGUAAAGGCCCUGAAGGAUAAAAUGAUGGAAGAGUCAGAGUGAAUAUGACAUGAACAAAAAUAUUUUUUAAAUGAAAAAGACCUGAAUGUAUAGAAUGAGACUAUGGAGAAUAUUAUAGAAGAAUACAAAGACGUAAUGACUUUGCUUUUUGAUCUGAUUAUUUAAUUUAAAAAAUAAUGUUAACAUUGGUGAUGAUGUUAUUUACAGUUUUACCAAGUUAUAAGAUUUUAUGAGCAAUUAAUAAUGAUUCCUAUAAUAUGAAUAGUUAUGACUGCAAUUCAGUUAUCAUUUUAGAAAUUUAUAAGAUGGUUUUCAUAUGUGGUAUCUCAUAUCCUUAAAAAUGCCACUGCAAUGUAAGUCAUCACCAUGUUAUAAAUAAAGAAAGUGAAACUAAGAGACUAAAAUAAUCUAUCCAAGAUUCUGUUGCAAGUAAAUAGCCAAACUAGAACCACAGAUUCUGUUAAUUUUCCACUAUACCAUCAUGUGUUCUAUGUUCUGUGCCAGAAUAUUGAAUGUUCCAUUAUAAUACGGAAAAUUCACAUGUCACUCAGUGGAAAAUUUUUGCUAUAUACCUUGCUUAACAUAGCAAAGUGGAAGACAAAUAGCUUUCUAUAUAAAGAAGGAAUCAGACUUAAUAUAUUGUGCUGUGAUAGUUCACUCAGACUGUGAUCUCUUAGCUCAGAGAAGAAUGACUUCAAUUCCACUGGGAGAUAUAAAUGUGUCUUGUGGGUUCAGCUCUGGUUAUAUAACCUUUGCUAAAUGAACAUGUGAGUUACUUGAAAUCUGAUAGAAAUCAGAAUUUCUUCGAUCUUGAGAGUUUGAUCCUAUCACUACAUACUAGUGAGUUUGCUUACAUUCAGGUGACUGUAACUCCUCUUGAUAUGCUCUCCCCACUCAUCUCCCUCAGAACUAGUAAAUCCACACUCACUAAGCUCCACUCUAAUCUCGAUUACUGUGCUGUUUGUUAAAGGGUAUACAACAAAUUACCUAUUUUUUUAAGUAUACAAAAGAAAGACUAUAUAUGAUAUAUAUAUAUAUAUAUAUAUAUGAUAUGGGCUGUAUUCACAAAGAUGUCACAAUGUUUGGGGGAGAUGAGGCAUUAUGAACAAAACAAUACAUGACAAAAUAUGAAAUAAUCAAGACAAAAAUGUAUUAUUUGAUAAAAGAAAAAAUGGAUAUUGGGGUAGAAGAAGAAUUCAGCUAGAAGUAUUAGAACUUUCAAGACUGGCUAGUUUCCCUUAGUUGAAAGAAAGAGGGAAAGUAUUUGAAACAGGAAGAAUAACGUGAACUUGGCAUUUAUGAGGAAUAGAGAAAAAAUUGGGCUAGAUGGGUCAGAGAGGGCAUUAUGGGGGUGGGGGCAGAGAGGUAAAAUGAGAGAUGUAAACCAGUCCUAAGCACUUGAGAGAAGAUCAUCAACUGUAUCUUGAUGACCUUUGGAAGACUUUGGAAAGAUAAGUCUUACUAAGAAAUUAUUGAAUUUAAGUAACAAGUGGAGAUUGAACUAUAUACUGCAGGGAAAGUAUUGGGUGAAAAGUUGGGCCUACAGUCUUUUUAGCAAAAUUCUGGCCCAGGUGAUAUAGAAGGCUAGAGUGGACCCAGAAAGGGGAUGCAAUUCCAUUACAAGUGAAGGGCACACAGACCCCUGAGUGCCAGUCUUUCCAACAAGGAAGUCAGGAUCUUUACUGAAAAUGAGGGUGAGCUAGCAGAUGAAGAGAUGAAGAGGUCUGUUUAAAUUGUGAGAAACAUACUUGGAAGAAAGUGAGUAUCAAAGAUGUCAUGUCUUCUUUCUGCCCAGUUACUCAGAUGAUAUUAGGGACUCAGCCUGUUUCCAUAUUCCAUUCCUGCCACAUAUUCCAUUUUUGGGAAAUCCUUCUCCUACUUCUGUCUAAGACCAGCUGAACAAGCACGUUCUCAAUUCCCCGUGACCUUGCUAUUCUUUUAAAGUAAUGCAAUGCCAGUUGGUGUUCUGGCAGUCUGGUAUUCCUUGAUAUGCUUAAAUACCAGAACACCAUUGGCUCUGUUAUGUUGUGAUUUCAGGAUAUGAAUUAUUUGAAUUCUGAAUUAUGUAUGUCUGUUCUAUACCUAGAUAAGUAUGGACUGAUUAAAAUUUGAAAUGGAAAAAUGUGCCCUUAUUCAAAAGACAUUCAAAGCACAUCACUCCACUCUUUGAAGUUCUUCCUAGUAUCUUUUUUUUUUUUUGCUUUUCUCUGUGUUCCAAACUAUGUUAAAUAGAGCAUUUAAGCACAUUUUCAUGUUUGCCAGUCAUUUCUACUUUUCUCUAGCCAUUUUAGACCUAGAAUUACUGUAUUAUAAGACUAUGACAGAGACAGCUUAGAAAUGGGGGACUGAUUAUAUUACGGAAAAUAGAUAUAGUAGAGAACAUAGGAAGAUAAAGAUAGAAAUGGAGAAAAGCAUCCCAGAUUGCUAGACCUUUCUAGGCUCUUGACUCCUCAUUUCUUUUAGAAAUAGAUUCCGUAGCUUCUCUUCUCUCCCUUUCUCUCCUUGACCAGAUCCAUUUUCUGGGGGCCCCAUUCCCUCAGGAUAUUUUAUCAUAACAUGAAUCUUCAUUUCCAAACAUCCUGUUUGCACAAACUCCAACCAGAAAGUUAAAAAGGCCUGUGUUCUGCCAUUUGGCUUUUUCUCAGGUGGAAGGGUCUCUAUAAUGUUUAGAAAUGAUGAUGUCAUCCUACUAUAAAGAAUAAUGAUAAACUUUCAUAUGAGAAGUAUUACUAAUAUUCAGCUUGAAUCAGGAAAUAUAUACAGAAAUAUAAAUAUGGAAAUUUCCAAUAAUUUUAAUAUUUAAUAGCAUUCUUAGAACCCUGGUCCCUUCUUUUGGAUCACUUACUAUGAGAGAAGCCAGCUGACAUAGCGUGAGGACACCCCAGCAGCCAGCCAAGAGGAGAAGUGAGCAACUGAGGCCUCUUGCCAUAGCUACAAAGGCCCUGUCAGAACUGGACUACCCAGCUCCAGCAGCACUCAGAUGUCCACAGGCUCAGCUAACUUCUAGACUGGAGCCUCAGGACAUGCCCUGAGUCAGGACUACCCAGCUAAGCUGCUCCCAAAUUCUGGACUGCACUGGAAAUGACAGCAAACAUUUUGAACACACAGUGAAUGCAAAGGUGAAUCAGGGAUCAGUUUUUGGCCUUCAUUCUGAAUGGGGAGUACUUAGAAGUCUUUGCUCAAUGUCAUCAGCCUGAGGUUAUGAGCCUUAGAAAAGGUGUGUAGAGGGCCAUGGAUCUUACAGCCAGUAGAUUUGGGUUUGAAUCUCAACCCUCAUGCUUGCUCUUCCCUUGCAGCUCAUUCCCCCAAGAAUCUGUUUCUUUAUCUGCAUAGAAAAACAACACCCACUCUGCUGUGCUGCUGUGAGACGUGAAAAAACAGUUCAAUGUACAAGUGCCCAUCAGUCAAUAGAUGUUAGUGACGUAAAUAUAUUUCCUUUCUUGCCAUUCAUUCUAAUUUUUUUUUUUUUGGUACCAGAGAUCGAACUCAGGUCCUUUCGCUUGCGCAGCAGGCGGUGAAACCACUGAGCUAAAUCGCUGGCCCUUCAUUCUGAUUUUAAUCCUUGUUUUGGAUGCUUACUCUUUGACGUCACUCUUAUUUAGCUUUUAUGUUUGCUGUUUGUUUGUUUGUUUGUUUUGAGACAGGGUCUUGCUAUGUAGUUCAGGCUGGAUUUAAUUCUUUAUAUAACCCAUGUGAUCCUUAAACUCAUGGUGAUCCUCCUGCCUCAGCCUCCUGUAUACUGGGAUUACACAUGUGUGCUAUUUACUCUUAUUUAGGUAUGGGCCUGCCCUGCUUUUAGACUUACUUUGCCUUGCUGGCUACAGCUGACUCUUGGCUUGGACUUGCUCUUCUUGAAAUUCUUUGCCCCAGAUUCCAGUUUCUGUUCCUACUGCUUUUCCUAAAUUUCUAAUUAAAUUCAGUCCAUAAGAAAUUUGAAGGUUGAUUAUCUGACACUUUGAACCUUUAGGGGCACAUUAUAAUUCAAGUUGUAUGUAAAAUUAGAGGCCAGUAAAUUGCUGAUAGUAUUUAAUAAAUUUGGAAUUCAA